GCAAUGGACGAAGGGCCUCUUCUCAGCAGUGCAAAGCUCUUCCCAUAGGCAGUGCUUGGGUUCCAGAAGCCUCUGAGGAUUCUCUCACCUGACUCAUCGCCCUUGACUGCCAGGCUGGACUGGCCAACUCAGGGUUCAUGUCCCAGCCAGUUGCAGAAAAAGGAGUUGGAUCAGAAAGUCCACAGGGAUGGCCUACUUCAAAGACAAGGGAUGGGAAGAGUUUGGUUCCCCACUCUAUCUCCAAGGCCAGGCAUUGAGCAGGUGCUCAGCGGCCAACUGGAUCUCUAACUGUGGUUAGGGGUGCCGUCCACAUAUACCGACGACUCUCGUGAUUUCCUGGUUUGAACUAGUUCUCUUGGCUUCAUCGGAGGGGUGGUUCGAGUGGCUCCCUACAAAGGUUUGAUUUUCACCUCUUUUGCAUUUUGCCACAGGGAUCUGGUCAUGUUAGUACUGAGGGUUAUCACAAAGAUAAAUAUCUUUACGCGUAAAUAAUUAUCUUUAUGAUGUGAGUAUCAAGAGGACUAUAAUUUAUUUCCAAAUUAGUUUUUUUUUUAAGAUUAAUU
rnacentral:lncRNA from 12 species